rnacentral:rRNA from 1 species
AAGGCGCCUUUAUUUCGAAUAGGACAAAACAGGUUUACGCCUGAUCGUCGUGAAGAAAUUAUCUGUGCUUAUCAUUUUUUAAAAGAAGCCUCGAAAUUAUUUCCGCCCUAUCAGCUUUCGCCGGUAACGUAGUGGUUUACCGUGGCAGUGACGGGUAACGGGGAAUUAGGGUUUGACUCCGGAGAGGGAGCCUGAGAAACGGCUACCACAUCUAUGGAAGGCAGCAGGGGCGCGAAUUACCCAAUCCUAUACUAGGGAGGUAGUGACAAGAAAUAACAACACAGAUAUUAUUUAUUUAUGAUUGGAAUGAGAGGAGUUUAACACAUUCCUCGAGGAUCCAUUGGAGGGCAAGUCUGGUGCCAGCAGCCGCGGUAAUUCCAGCUCCAACAGCGUAUAUUAAAGUUGCUGCAGUUAAAACGCUCGUAGUUGUUGUCCAACUAUACGCUACACUCAAUUGCGAGAGUAGUACAAUAGUUUAGCAGAAAUUUUAUUUCUGCCAAGACCUUGAGGAAAGAUUAGUGUUCCAAGCAAUCAACUUUUGUCCUCCCCAGCAUGGUAUAAAACCCAACCGAAGAA